rnacentral:rRNA from 2 species
CUCAGGACGAACGCUGGCGGCGUGCCUAAUACAUGCAAGUCGAGCGGAUCGAUGGGAGCUUGCUCCCUGAGAUCAGCGGCGGACGGGUGAGUAACACGUGGGUAACCUGCCUGUAAGACUGGGAUAACUCCGGGAAACCGGGGCUAAUACCGGAUAAUUCAGUUCCUCGCAUGAGGAACUGUUGAAAGGUGGCUUUUCGCUACCACUUACAGAUGGACCCGCGGCGCAUUAGCUAGUUGGUGAGGUAACGGCUCACCAAGGCAACGAUGCGUAGCCGACCUGAGAGGGUGAUCGGCCACACUGGGACUGAGACACGGCCCAGACUCCUACGGGAGGCAGCAGUAGGGAAUCUUCCGCAAUGGACGAAAGUCUGACGGAGCAACGCCGCGUGAGUGAAGAAGGUUUUCGGAUCGUAAAACUCUGUUGUUAGGGAAGAACAAGUGCCGUUCGAAUAGGGCGGCACCUUGACGGUACCUAACCAGAAAGCCACGGCUAACUACUUGCCAGCAGCCGCGGUAAUACGUAGGUGGCAAGCGUUGUCCGGAAAUUAUUGGGCGUAAAGCGCGCGCA